rnacentral:rRNA from 1 species
GGGGAAAAAUUAAUAAAGUAUAAAUAAUAAAAAAAUUUUUAAAAUUAAAAUUAAAUUAAUGGGGGUUAAAGUAUUUUUAAUGGAAAAAAUUAAAAAAUUUAUAGAAAAUUAGUAUUGUAAAAGAAAUUUGAAAAUGAAAAUUAAUUUAAUUUAAAGAAAAUUUAAUUUAUUGUAUCUUGUGUAUCAGAGUUUAUUAAAUAAUUUUUAUUUAUAAAAAAAUCUCGAAUUUAAAAGAGUUAAUUAAUUAAAAAAAUUAAUGUUGAAUAAUUAUUUUAAAUAAUUAAUUGGAAAUUAAAUGUUAAUCGUUUUUAAAUAUAUCUAGUUAUUUUAGAAAAAAAUUUAAUUUUAAAUUUAAAUAAUUUAAAUAAUUUAAUAAUAAAAUUUUUAAAAUUUAAAUUUAAUAUAUUAAGGGAUAAGCUUUAAAUUAAAAAUUUAUAAUAAAAUAAAAUAUGAAUUAAAAUUUUUAAAAUUUAUAUUAUUUAAAAAUUUUAAUUUAUUAUAAAAAAUUUUAAUUAAUAUAAAAUUUAAUAAAAAAAAAUUUAAAUUUAUAUAAAAUAAUAAUUUUAAAUAAUAAUAAAUUAGAAAUAAUGAUUAAAUUAGUAUAAAUAAAAUAUAAAAAUAUAAAUAAAAAUUAAAAUUAAAUUUAAGGAAUUCGGCAAAAAUAAAUAUUCACUUGUUUAUCAAAAACAUGUCUUUUUGUUAAUAAUUUAAAGUCUAAUCUGCCCACUGAUAAAUAUUAAAGGGCUGCAGUAUUUUGACUGUACAAAGGUAGCAUAAUCAAUAGUUUUUUAAUUGAAAACUUGAAUGAAAGAUUUGAUGAAAUAUAAACUGUCUCAUAUAUUAUUAUUAAAAUUUUAUUUUUUAGUUAAAAAGCUAAAAUAAUUUUAAAAGACGAGAAGACCCUAUAGAGUUUUAUAUUUUUAUUUAUUAUAAAAUUAUAUUAAAAUUUAUAUAUAAAAUAAGUAGAAAUAUUAUAUUGGGGUGAUAAAAAAAUAAAAUUAACUUUUUAAAUAUAAAAUAUAAAUAAGUAGAUAAUUGAUCCAUUAUUAAUGAUUAAAAGAAAAAAUUACCUUAGGGAUAACAGCGUAAUAUUUUUUUUUAGUUCAAAUAAAAAAAAAAGUUUGCGACCUCGAUGUUGGAUUAAGAUAAAAUUUAAAUGUAGAAGUUUAAAAUUUUGAUCUGUUCGAUCAUUAAAAUCUUACAUGAUCUGAGUUCAAACCGGUGUAAGCCAGGUUGGUUUCUAUCUUUAAAAAAUAAAAAUAUUUUA